GGUUGAACGCUGGCGGCAGGCCUAACACAUGCAAGUCGAACGGGAAAGGUAGCUGCUUGCGCAGAUGGGGGAGUGGUGCACUAUUCAAACGCCUGCGAUCCUACCUGGACAGCGGGCGAUAGCCUCUCGGAUAAUACUUAAACACCCUACAGGGAAGAACGGGGGGGAUCUUCGGGAUCUUUGCGCUUAUUUAUUGGAGGCCAUGUCGGGUUCACCUUGUUAUGUGGGGGUAUUGGGCCUACAAGGCCACAUAUGGUCGAUGAUUUUGAGAGGAUCUCAGAAACUCCACUACACACACUGCUCAAGACCCUACGAGACGCCAGAAGGGAGGGAAUAUUGGACAAUGUGGGAAACUGAUCCAACCAUGCCCCAGUAUGCAGGGGCCUUAUGCUUCCCAAAUUUGCCCUGGUUGGCCAAGUAAUAUACUACCUACGUUUUGGAGCUUACUCGAAAAAA
rnacentral:rRNA from 1 species